GACGAACGCUGGCGGCGCGCCUAACACAUGCAAGUCGAACGAGCGAGAGAGAGCUUGCUUUCUCGAGCGAGUGGCGAACGGGUGAGUAACGCGUGAGGAACCUGCCUCAAAGAGGGGGACAACAGUUGGAAACGACUGCUAAUACCGCAUAAGCCCACGGCUCGGCAUCGAGCAGAGGGAAAAGGAGCAAUCCGCUUUGAGAUGGCCUCGCGUCCGAUUAGCUAGUUGGUGAGGUAACGGCCCACCAAGGCGACGAUCGGUAGCCGGACCGAGAGGUUGAACGGCCACAUUGGGACUGAGACACGGCCCAGACUCCUACGGGAGGCAGCAGUGGGGAAUAUUGCACAAUGGGGGAAACCCUGAUGCAGCGACGCCGCGUGGAGGAAGAAGGUCUUCGGAUUGUAAACUCCUGUUGUUGGGGAAGAUAAUGACGGUACCCAACAAGGAAGUGACGGCUAACUACGUGCCAGCAGCCGCGGUAAAACGUAGGUCACAAGCGUUGUCCGGAAUUACUGGGUGUAAAGGGAGCGCAGGCGGGAAGACAAGUUGGAAGUGAAAUCUAUGGGCUCAACCCAUAAACUGCUUUCAAAACUGUUUUUCUUGAGUAGUGCAGAGGUAGGCGGAAUUCCCGGUGUAGCGGUGGAAUGCGUAGAUAUCGGGAGGAACACCAGUGGCGAAGGCGGCCUACUGGGCACCAACUGACGCUGAGGCUCGAAAGUGUGGGUAGCAAACAGGAUUAGAUACCCUGGUAGUCCACACCGUAAACGAUGAUUACUAGGUGUUGGAGGAUUGACCCCUUCAGUGCCGCAGUUAACACAAUAAGUAAUCCACCUGGGGAGUACGACCGCAAGGUUGAAACUCAAAGGAAUUGACGGGGGCCCGCACAAGCAGUGGAGUAUGUGGUUUAAUUCGACGCAACGCGAAGAACCUUACCAAGUCUUGACAUCCCUUGACAGGCAUAGAAAUAUGUUUUCUCUUCGGAGCAAGGAGACAGGUGGUGCAUGGUUGUCGUCAGCUCGUGUCGUGAGAUGCUGGGUUAAGUCCCGCAACGAGCGCAACCCUUAUGGUCAGUUACUACGCAAGAGGACUCUGGCCAGACUGCCGUUGACAAAACGGAGGAAGGUGGGGAUGACGUCAAAUCAUCAUGCCCUUUAUGACUUGGGCUACACACGUACUACAAUGGCGUUAAACAAAGAGAAGCAAGACCGCGAGGUGGAGCAAAACUCAGAAACAACGUCCCAGUUCGGACUGCAGGCUGCAACUCGCCUGCACGAAGUCGGAAUUGCUAGUAAUCGUGGAUCAGCAUGCCACGGUGAAUACGUUCCCGGGCCUU
rnacentral:rRNA from 1 species